rnacentral:rRNA from 1 species
CCUACGGGAGGCAGCAGUGAGGAAUAUUGGUCAAUGGACGAGAGUCUGAACCAGCCAAGUAGCGUGAAGGAAGAAGGCUUUCGGGUUGUAAACUUCUUUUCUCAGGGACGAAGAAAGUGACGGUACCUGGGGAAUAAGCCACGGCUAACUACGUGCCAGCAGCCGCGGUAAUACGUAGGUGGCAAGCGUUAUCCGGAUUUAUUGGGUGUAAAGGGCGUGUAGGCGGGAGCGCAAGUCAGAUGUGAAAACUCAGGGCUCAACCCUGAGCCUGCAUUUGAAACUGUGUUUCUUGAGUGCUGGAGAGGCAAUCGGAAUUCCGGGUGUAGCGGUGAAAUGCGUAGAUAUACGGAGGAACACCAGUGGCGAAGGCGGAUUGCUGGACAGUAACUGACGCUGAGGCGCGAAAGCGUGGGGAGCAAACAGGAUUAGAUACCCCUGUAGUC